UUUCAGAAAACAAAGGUGCGUGGUCUCUACUCCACCAAAAUGGAAAGACUUUGGUCCCUCCAUGACGGUUUCUUCUCCUUUCAACCUUUUGCUUUCAACUUUGGUUUUUCCAUUUUAAAGUACAAACAAAUUUAAGUGAAGGUAAUAAUUUGAAAGAAAAAAAAAAGUGGAAUACAUUAGUAAAAUUACCGUGGAGAAUUUUGUAUUACAAGUUAGAUUGCAAAAAAAUGAGUAAAUUAAUCUCUGUACAUUAGAUCCAGGAGCAAAUAAGUCCUAUUAAAAAAUCCAUCUAUUUCUGCUGUUAAAAAUUAAUCUUCAUAUGUUGGCAUGAGGUAUAUGCAUGUGGCAUGAAACAUGUCACUGUCUGGUUAUUCCGUCAAUCACAUUAGUUUUUAAAAGUGAAAAUGAAUGAAAUUUUUAACAAAAAUGAUCGAAUGGCUCUUUAAUCUAAUGUACAUGGACCAAUUUGUUAUUUAUUGAGUAGAUAGAGCAAAAUGCAACCGACUUUUAAUACAGGAACCUCAAUGAUACUUUAUCAUGUCUAUUAUAAAUAUAGCAAAUUCUAUAUAAAUAUUUUAAAUAAAAUCUUAAAUAUCUAUUUUAUGUGAAAAAAGAAUUGGGUAAUUGAGAUGGUGAAUAUAUAUAUAUAUAUAUAUAUAUAAUAAGGUAGGAUUAGAUUGAGUGGAGUCAAAUACAAGAACAAUGUAAAGAGUCAAUCAACGAGAACAGAUAGGAAUUGAAUUAUCAUCUUAUUAACCUAAAGUUGAGUGUAUAUAAAGGAAUAAACUCAAUUAAUAUUCAAGGAGUUCUCAACAACAAAAAUUAAUGGAGAUAAAAUAGUAAAGUCGAAAAUGAAAAACAAACUAACCAUUGAAAACUAGAAACUAAAUAACAAAUAAAUUAAAGGAGUAAAUGUUAAAAUUAUAUACCAAUUUUGAUUUAAUACGUCAUGAAUUUUAUUUUACAUGAUAAGAGUUGGUUCUAUUUUUUUUUUUUUUUUGAGAUUUUUGAUUCUAUACUUCUUGUUAUACUAUACGUUGAUAAUGACGGUAGAAAUGAUCGCAAAGCAAUAAGAAAGAAAAAUAAGAACACGUAGAUUUUACGAUGAAAACUCUUAUUGGGAAAAAAACUAUGGGUAGAGGAGUAGGAAUUCACUAAUGUUGAAAAACAAUAAUACAAGAGGUUUGCGGCUAUGCGUAGUUUUUAAAGGCUAAACAACUCGUCUAAUAAAAGAAGUAUAGUUUUAUACGGAUUCAACUUGUGCGGCAAGAUUUGGUCCUUAGACCUUCGACCCCCAAUUUUGCAUCUCUAUUUUAUUUCUUUAACAAGUGAGUUGCACAUCGUAUUUUUCAGGCUGGAUCAAACGGGGUUCGGAUUAUACAACUCUUAACACUUCUCUUACAUUUAAGAUUUUAAAUUUCUACUUUAAUUUUGACAUAAUUUGAUACCUCAACUUUUUUUUUUGUUAUAUUCAGAUACCAAAUCAUUUUUUUAGCUUAACAAAUAUUAAACCAAUAAAUUGAACAGAAAAUUUUCUACAUUAAAUUUUAGAAAAUAAAAUUAUGGAUAUUAAAUUCUAAAAUAAUAUAAGAUAUAGUGACGUGUUACAUAAAUUGAAGUUAUAAAUUAUGAUUAAAUUCAUACAAAAUAUUAGGAAAAAGAAAAGAAAUGUUGGAAGUAUCGUCCACGUUGUUUGUCGGCCUCUUUAAUCAUAAAAAAGAAAUAAAGAAAUAAGAGUAUGAAGAAACCAGAAACAGUCCCCUAGAUUUUAUUCCAAAGAGAUUAGUGGGUGCAGUUGACCAUGUCCUGUCUCUCCCCCAUUAAACUUUCACAUCAACUUAUUAUUAUUUUGAUUAAUUUAACUAAUCUCAUACACAUUCAAGUGGCUCAUGAUGAAGAGAUAAACUAAACCAUCAUCAGCAGAUAAGGACUCCGUUUAUCCACCUCAUCAAUCUAAUCACUUGGAUAGAAUUCCUGAUCUUUUUUCUUUGUAUUGGGUGCCCCAUCAAUUCAAAUAUUUUAAGCCCCUUGUUUACUCACACAAUGGAAGAUAUAUUCCGAAGGACCCAAAGGGAAAUCAAGACUUUUGUGAAUCAAAAUAGCUUCCAAUAGGGGUUUAUAUAGGUCUCGAUUUUAGGUUUUGUUUACACUUUUUGAAGGAAUGGAUUACUUUUUGAAUCUUGUCAUUCAAGUUUACAAUUUUCAUUAAUAAUGUAUUAAAUGAUUUUUUAAUAUUUACUAGUGUUAUAUUUUUUUAGGUCAAUAUUCGUGUGACGAAUCUUGUCAGAAGACUGUAAUUCAUACUAUAUAAUCAAUGCUACUUAUUUCAUCACUCUCUUGCCUCGUGGACCUUGAAAGGUCCUGUCAUAGGCUAGUCGAGUUGACCUACGAAGACAAGACUCUCCAUAGCCACUAAAGGCACGUGUUUGACAUGACUUAUCAAACUUACUAUCUAAAGGGCAACUGGCUGCAUAGGAACCACUCAAAGAACAUCGUAC
rnacentral:lncRNA from 1 species